AGCAGCCGCGGUAAUUCCAGCUCCAAUAGCGUAUAUUAAAGUUGCUGCAGUUAAAAAGCUCGUAGUUGAAUUUCAGGACCAUCACGUCGGUCGUGCCUCGGUACGUACUGGCGUUGUUGGUUUCUCCCUUCUGACGAACCAUGAUGUCAUUUAUUUGGUGUCGUGGGGAAUCAGGACUGUUACUUUGAAAAAAUUAGAGUGUUUAAAGCAGGCUCACGCUUGAAUACAUUAGCAUGGAAUAAUGAAAUAGGACGUUUGAUUCUAUUUUGUUGGUUUCUAGGAUCGACGUAAUGAUUAAUAGGGAUAGUUGGGGGCAUUAGUAUUCAAUUGUCAGAGGUGAAAUUCUUGGAUUUAUUGAAGACUAACUACUGCGAAAGCAUUUGCCAAGGAUGUUUUCAUUAAUCAAGAACGAAAGUUAGGGGAUCGAAGACGAUCAGAUACCGUCGUAGUCUUAACCAUAAACUAUGCCGACUAGGGAUCGGAUGAUGUUAAUUUUUUAAUGACUCAUUCGGCGCCUUACG
rnacentral:rRNA from 1 species